UACGUAGGGUCCGAGCGUUAAUCGGAAUUACUGGGCGUAAAGCGUGCGCAGGCGGUUUUGUAAGCCAGAUGUGAAAUCCCCCGGGCUAACUUGGGAACUGCAUUUGGGACUGCAAGGCUGGAGUACGGCAGAGGGAGUGGAAUUCCACGUGUAGCAGUGAAAUGCGUAGAGAUGUGGAGGAACACCGAUGGCGAAGGCAGCCUCCUGGGCUAGUACUGACGCUCAUGCA
rnacentral:rRNA from 1 species